CUCUCCUGAACCACAGGUAACUGGGAUGUGGUCUCUUCCUCCUUGCUGGUUGCUGAGGCGCUGAUGGAGUCCCGUGAGGUUGGGUCAGGCUCUGCUUGCUCCUUCUGUUGCUGUUCAUUUGUCUGCGUGUUCAGUCGGGUUCAUCAAGUGGUUCCUCGGAGGGCUGUGUGGGUUCAUCCACUCCUCCCCCGGCACUAUCUGUGGGUGGAAAAGAGAAAACCAAAAUUGGAAACCAAGAUGAAAAACAUUAUCAAACAAAUUCUUGUCAGUGGCUUCAUUGGUACUGCUAGCUGCUGGUUGGUCGUCUGUGCUCCCUGAUGCCAUCUGCUCGCUGUCUCUCUUCCUGUCUGGCUGGCGAACUGCAGUAUCCUGUGCAGGAUUACAAAUAUACAUCCAAG